GGUGGCGUAGCUCAGCUGGUUUAGAGCGGCGGAUUCAUAACCCGCAGGUCGCCGGUUCAAGUCCGGCCGCCACCA
rnacentral:tRNA from 1 species